rnacentral:rRNA from 1 species
AUGUCACGCCUCCAGCCCCGCUAUUUCUCCAGCUCCGUGUCCUCACGCGCCAACGAACUGCUGAGCGAAUUCCACCAUCAUCUGGGCUCCGGAACGCUCUGGCCGGAGCUCGCGCGCCAACUGUUCGACCAAAUGCUGCGCCAACCUGUCCCGGUAUCAGUACGUGCACUCAACGGCUUAUUUGCUGCCCUCGCGCGUGCGCCGCCCUCAACCGCCUGCACCAAUGCCCCUGCCCUCGUCAUUGAUCUCUUCAACCGCAUGGCCCAAGCAGGUCGUCGCCAGGUGACAGCACCCACCAUUUACACCUACAGCAUACUUAUUGAGUGCUGCCACCGAGCAUGCCGCCCAGACCUAGGGCUUGCCUUCUUCGGCCGCCUCCUCCAGACAGGCAUCACGACGGACGUCAUUACCUACAGCAGCUUACUCAAGUGCCUCUGUGACAUGAAGCGCACGGAGGAGGCUUUGGGCGUGCUGCUCCACAGGAUGCCCAACGACCUGCCUAAUGUCAUCUCCUACUCAGUAAUUCUCAAGAGCUUCUGCGACAGUGGUAGGAGCCAGCUUGCGCUUGAUCUGCUCCGAAUGAUGGCCGAAAAAGGAUCUGACCACUCCCCCAGCGUGGUGUCAUACAGCGUGGUAAUCGAUGGUUUCUUCAAGGAGGGUGAAAUAAGCAAAGCAUGUGAUCUGUUCCAUGAAAUGAUGCAGCAGGGGGUUGUGCCCGAUGUGGUGAUGUAUACCUCCAUUAUCAAUGCGCUAUGCAAAGCAAGAGCAAUGGACAAGGCAGAGGUGGUUCUUCGAUCAAUGGUUCAUAAUGGUGUCCAACCAGAUGCUGUGACAUAUACUAGCCUGAUCCAAGGAUAUUCAACUUUAGGCCAGUUGAAAGAAGUCGCUAGGUUGUUGAAAGUGAUGAGAAGCCAAGGUGUUAUGCCAGACGUUGUUACCUGCACCUUAGUCAUGGACUACCUUUGCAAGCAUGGAAGAACCAAAGAAGCUCAGGAAAUAUUUUAUUCCAUGGCUGUGAAUGGGCAAAAACCUGAUAUUGUCGCAUACUGUACUAUGCUCUAUGGGUACUCUAUAGAAGGAUCCCUUGUUGAUAUGAUCGAUCUCUGUGAGCUGAUGGCAAGAGAUGGAGUUGUACCCAACCUCCGUUGUUUCAACAUACUGAUUAAUGCAUAUGCUAAGCAUGGAAUGAUGGAUGUGGCCCUGCUUUUCUUCGAAGAUAUGUUGAAGCAGGGGGUGAAGCCUAAUGAAUUCACUUAUUUAACUGUGAUAUCUGCAUUUUGCAAGAUGGGCAGGAUGGAUGAUGCGAUGGAAAAAUUCCGUGAGAUGAUUGAUAUGGGAGUACCAGUUGACACAGAAGUUUACAUGUGCAUGAUUGAGGGUUAUUUGAAUCACGGUGACUCCGUGAAAGCGAAGGAAUUGAUUACUGAAAUGAAGAACACGGAUAUUCGUCAUAAGCCGUGGAAGGGUAAUGGAAGAACAUAA